GACGAACGCUGGCGGCGUGCCUAACACAUGCAAGUCGAGCGAUGAAGUUCUUCGGAACGGAUUAGCGGCGGACGGGUGAGUAACGCGUGAGCAAUCUGCCUUACACAAAGGGAUAGCCUCGGGAAACUGGGAUUAAUACCAUAUGACGCUUGGUAAUCGCAUGAGGACCAAGUCAAAGAUUUUAUCGGUGUAAGAUGAGCUCGCGUCUGAUUAGCUAGUUGGUGGGGUAAAGGCCUACCAAGGCGACGAUCAGUAGCCGGCCUGAGAGGGUGAACGGCCACACUGGAACUGAGACACGGUCCAGACUCCUACGGGAGGCAGCAGUGGGGAAUAUUGCACAAUGGGCGCAAGCCUGAUGCAGCGACGCCGCGUGAGCGAAGAAGGUUUUCGGAUCGUAAAGCUCUGUCCUCUGGGAAGAAAAAAUGACGGUACCAGAGGAGGAAGCCCCGGGCUAACUACGUG
rnacentral:rRNA from 1 species